CCUACGGGUGGCUGCAGUGGGGAAUAUUGGACAAUGGGCGAAAGCCUGAUCCAGCCAUGCCGCGUGUGUGAAGAAGGCCUUCGGGUUGUAAAGCACUUUCAGUGGGGAAGAAAGCCUUGGGGCUAAUACCCUCGAGGAAGGACAUCACCCACAGAAGAAGCACCGGCUGAACUCCGUGCCAGCAGCCGCGGUAAUACGGAGGGUGCGAGCGUUAAUCGGAAUUACUGGGCGUAAAGCGCGCGUAGGCGGUCUGAUAAGCCGGUUGUGAAAGCCCCGGGCUCAACCUGGGAACGGCAUCCGGAACUGUCAGGCUAGAGUGCAGGAGAGGAAGGUAGAAUUCCCGGUGUAGCGGUGAAAUGCGUAGAGAUCGGGAGGAAUACCAGUGGCGAAGGCGGCCUUCUGGACUGACACUGACGCUGAGGUGCGAAAGCGUGGGUAGCAAACAGGAUUAGAUACCCGUGUAGUC
rnacentral:rRNA from 1 species